rnacentral:rRNA from 1 species
UACGGAGGGUGCAAGCGUUACUCGGAAUCACUGGGCGUAAAGAGCGCGUAGGCGGGAUAGCAAGUCAGAUGUGAAAUCCUAUGGCUUAACCAUAGAACUGCAUUUGAAACUGUUAUUCUAGAGUAUGGGAGAGGUAGGUGGAAUUCUUGGUGUAGGGGUAAAAUCCGUAGAGAUCAAGAGGAAUACUCAUUGCGAAGGCAGCUUACUAAGCCAUAACUGACACUGAAGCACGAAAGCGUGGGGAUCAAACAGG